rnacentral:lncRNA from 1 species
AAAGACAUAAAUUGUGAAAGUGAUCAGAACAAAAUCAACAAAGAAAUCCCCGAAUCCUAACCCUAACCCUAGUUCAACUGACAUACAUGCCAUCGUCGGAAGCAGGGCUAAGGUAAUGGAAGGAACUCUUGCUGCUAUCCCCAUCACUCUAGGACAUCAUCGCGAGGCAUCGUCAGCGGUUGGAGAUGUGCCAGGGGCGGCGGCGGUGGUGGCGACGAACAACGGAGAGGGAGAAGCAGAGAGCGAGGAGCAAGGAAGUGAGGGGUACCGAUUCCGAUUCAUGGGGUUAGUUCGAACUUGGUCAUUGCACAGAGCGAACGAACCAUCAUAUCAAUAUGCACUCUGAGCUAUGCAUAUUUAAUGCUCACCUACAAGCAAAACUAUCCUAGCAAAAUGCUAGCCAGGUGAAAGUUCCUUUGACUGGCAGAGGGCAUGACGUCAAGGGAACCCUGACCUGACACAAGCAAGCCACACAGGGCACAGGGGUGGGUAGGGUACGCAAAGCAAGUUACAAGAACCGCAAGCCACUGUUCGGUUCAUCACACACACUGACUGACUGACAGUUACACACACACAUACAUAGGUCUUUCUUGUCGAUCAGGAAGGAAUGCCAACUAUGUUUCGGUUCACGGCAACAAACAUGCAAACCAUAGGUCCAUAGAUAGGAUGGUUACAUAGAUAGAUAACUGAACCAUACAAAACGAACGGCAGUUUUCAGGUCUUUUGAUCAAGCAGAUGGGCGAGGCGGUCACAGGAAGGUCCAGUUGACGAACAUGAAGGCAAGGCAGUGCGGCGCGCCCGCCACGUCAUCACCCACCACCNNNNN